rnacentral:rRNA from 1 species
AGGGCACCACCAGGAGUGGAGCCUGCGGCUUAAUUUGACUCAACACGGGAAAACUCACCCGGCCCGGACACUGUAAGGAUUGACAGACUGAGAGCUCUUUCUUAAUUCGGUGGGUGGUGGAGCAUGGCCGUUCUUAGUUGGUGGAGUGAUUUGUCUGGUUAAUUCCGAUAACGAACGAGACUCUGGCCUAUUAAAUAGACGGCGUAUCGAAACGUACGUCGAGCUUCUUAGAGGGACAAGCGGCGUCUAGCCGCAUGAAAUAGAGCAAUAACAGGUCUGUGAUGCCCUUAGAUGUCCGGGGCUGCACGCGCGCUACACUGAAAGAAUCAGCGUGCGCGUACGCCUGGUUCGGAAGGACCGGGUAACCCGAUGAAAUUCUUUCGUGCUUGGGAUAGGGAAUUGCAAUUAUUUCCCUUGAACGAGGAAUUCCCAGUAAAUGCAGGUCAUAAGCUCGCGUUGAUUACGUCCCUGCCCUUUGUACACACCGCCCGUCGCUACUACCGAUUGAAUGAUUUAGUG